CUGAUGGCAGGGUAGCCCCUGCACCCCCAGCAAGCUACCAUGGACCACAGGCUGACACAUCAGGCUUCAUCAAGACCUUGAAGGAAAAGUUUAUGUCUAAAGAGGUCUCCCUCCUGGGCAGCUCAGGCACUGUGGUGAAGACAGAUCAUCCAGCAGCCCCCAAGGAAGCAGCAGGAGCUGGAACCCAUGCAUGGAUUGGUGAUGCUACAGCAGUCUCUAACAGGCCACUUGGAAGUAGCACCUAUAACCAGGGUGAGCUGCUUGGGAAGAAGGAAGUGAUGCCAGACAAAGGUGAAGCCAAAACAGAAGACCCAUGCAAAGGCACGGCCAACGGUGG